rnacentral:lncRNA from 7 species
GAGGGAUGAGGUGGGAAGGGAAAGCGGACUCACCACGACGGAGUUUGACGGCGAGUACCAUUCGGCGCAGACGGCGCUCUCGGCGACUCCAACUGCGCGCCGACGAGCGAGAGAGAACCAGGGCAAGAGAAAUUGGCAUGAGAGAAACCGACGGGGCGUGGGGAGGAAAUGGGGAUGAGAGAAGGUGGAGACUUUUAGUGUGGCACUAGGCUAACAGGCGGGUCUCACUCGUGGCGGCGGCGCUGGGCAACUGCCCACGCGCGCGGCAGGCACGGCAGGGCAGUUGGAGCUGGGCCGCGCGGGCGUUGGGCCGCGGGGAGGAAGGCAGAGGCACGCAAGGGCCUCGGCUGGGCUGGAUUUCUCUACUUCUUUCAUUUCUUUCUCUUUUCUUUAUUUUGUUUCUUUUUCUAUCAUUUAAAUUUAGCAUCGAGUGCACAAACAAACUAAUUGAAUGCACAUCCAAUAAAUUCGUCAAUCAGAACAUAUGUUCCAGCAUGAUAUGUCAAUAACAAUUCCUGUAGGGUUUUAUUAGCAACUAUAUUUGAAGUAACAUUCCUUAUUACUUGGGAAGAAAAGAAUAAAGGAGCGAACAGAAAGAGGAAAAAGGAAGUAACACCUGAAUUUGGUGGAUCU